rnacentral:lncRNA from 1 species
UCAACUUCUUUGCAAGGUUGUGCUGUUUCUUUGACAAACCGUUCUGCCUGUUUUCCAAUCAAAGCUUCUUCUUUCUCUACAUUAUGUGUUUCAGAUUCAUCAAUUCUUUCAGUGGCAGCUUCUGUCUCUUCCCUGUUUUGUUUUUUGGGUUCUUCAAUUGGUGGUUCUUUAGGUUUCUCUUCAAUUAUUGGUUCUUCAAGUUUCUCUUUACCUGCUAGUUCUUCAGGUAUCUCAUUAACUGUUGGUUCUUCAAAGUUCUCAACUGCUGAUUCCUCAGGUUUCUCCUCAACUGAUGGUUCUUCAUGUUUUUCAUCAACUGUAGCUUCUUCAGGUUUCACCUCAACUGUUGGUUCCUCAAGUUUUUGGUCAACUACUUGUUCUUCAGUUGCUAGUUCUUCAGGUUUCUUUUCAACUGCUAGCUCUUCACGUGUCUCUUUAACCACUGGUUCUUCAGGUGUUUCUUUCACCUCUGGUUCUUGAGAUUGCUCCUCAAUCACUGAUUCUUGGGGUUUCUCUUCACUUUUUGGUUUGGGUGUUACUUCAACUGCUGGUUCUUCAGGUUUUCCUUCAACUGCUAGUUCUUCAGGUUUUUCAUCAAUUGUUGGUUCUUCAAGUUUCUCUUGAACUGUUGGUUCUUUUGGUUUCUCUUGAACUUCUGGUUCUUGAGGUUUCUCUUCAAUCAUUGGUUGUUCAGGUGUUUCUUUCGCCACAGGUUCUUCUAGUGUCCCUUCAAUCACUGGUUCGUCGGAUUUCUCCUCAACCGCUGGUUCUUUGGGUUUCUCCUCAACUUUUGAUUCUUCAAGUUUCUCCCUAACAACUGGUUCUUCUGGUUUCUGUUCAACUGUCGGUUCCACUGGUUUCUCUUCAACUGCUGAAUCUUCAGGCGUUUCCUCAACUUCAAUGGUAUUGCAUGAAAUUUCUUGAGGUUUCUCGUCAACUAGUUGUUCAGGUGUCCCUUCAACUGCUGGUUUGUCAGGUUUCUCUGGUUCUUCGAGUUUCUCCUCAAUUUUUGGUUCUUCGGGUUUCUCCUCGAUGUCAAAUUCUUCCCGUUUCUCUUCAACUGUCGAUUCCUUGAGUUUCUCUUCAACUGCUGAAUCUUCGGGUUUUUCCUCAAUUUCAGCAAAAUCAUUGUUGGUAUUGCAUGAAAUUUCAUUGCCAGUCUUAUCAUUUGAGUCCACAACAUGCUUAUUCUGCUAGAAGAAAGUUUCACUUAAUUUUUCAAUAGAUAAGCAGAUGUGAAUUCAUUGCACAUACAUAACUAUUAGGAUGGACAACUUUGUGACAGUGUUUGAUCCUCACCUUUUCGAGGGGCGUUACCUUUUCAGCUGCUGCUUUCUCUAGUUUCUCUUCAACAACUACUUCUUCAUGUUUCUCUUCAGCUACUUGUUUGUCAGGUGUUUCUUCCCGUGCUGGUUUAUCAACUGUUUCUUCCCCUGCAACUGGUUCGUCAAGCUUCUCUUCAACUACUAAUUUUUCAGGUGUUUCCUCAACCAUUAGUUCUUCGAAUUUCUCCGAUACAACUGGUUCUUUAGGUUUCUCUUUCAGUGCAGGUUCCUCAUAUUUUUUUUCUAUUACUGUUUCUUCAUGUUUUUCCUCAACAGCUGGAUAGUCAGAAACAUCACUGUUGUCGUUGCACAGAAUUUCACCAUUAAUCUUGUCUGUUGAGUGACUUGAGUCCGUAUCUGGCAUAUUCUACAAGAAGAAUUUAAAGAUUCACUAAGACUUUUAAUAGAUAAGUAGAUGCAAAUUCCUUGCAUGUAUAGAGCUAAUAGGAUGGUAAACUCUGCGACAGUGCUCGAUUACCUUUUCCAAGAGAGUCACCGUUUCAACUGCUUGUUUUUCAGAUUUCUGUUCAAUAGCUAGUUCUUCCGGUGUCUCUUCAACUGCUGGUUUGUUGGGAUUCUCUUCAACUAUUAGGUCUUCAGGUGUUUCCGCUCUUGCUUGCUCUACAAGUGUUUCUUCAAUUGCCAAUUUUUGAAGUUUCUCAUUUAUUACUGGUUCUUCAGGUUUAUCCUCAACAAUUGGUUCCUCAUGUUUUUCCUCAACCAUUGGUUCUUCAGUUUUUUCCUCAACUGCUGGAUAGUCAGCAACAUCAAUGUUGGUAAUGCAUGGAGUUUCAGUGUCAGUCUUCCCUUUUGAAUCUAUAGCUGACAUAUCCUGCAAGAAAAAUUUAAAGUUUUACUUAGUCUUCCAAUAGAUAAACAUAUGUGAAUUGUUGCACAUACAUAACUAAUAGUACAGUUAAAGCUUGUGAUUGUACUUGAUCCUUACCUCUUCCAACAAAGUUACCUUUUCAGGUUUCUCUUCGAUUACUAGUUUUUCAAGGUUCUUUUCAUCUGCUAGAUCUUCAGGUGUUUCUUCAACUACAGGUUCUUCAGAUUUCUCUUCAACUGUUGGUUCUUCAAGUUUCUCCUCGAAAACUUGUUCUUCAGUUUUUUUUUCCACAGCCGGUUCUUCAGGUUUCUCUGUCACUGCUGGUUCAUCAGUUUUUUCAUUAACCGCUGGUUCUUCACGUUUCUCUUCAAUCACUUGUUUUUCAUGUUUUUCUUUAACUACCUGUACUUCAGCUUUAUCUUCAACUGUUGGAUAGUAAGCAACAUCGUUGUUUGAAUUGCCUAGAAUUUCACUGUCAAUCUUGUCCUUUGAGUCUACAAUUGGCAUAUUCUGCAAGAGAAGUUCAAAAAUUCGAUUUAAUCUUCCAAUAGAUUGGCAUAUGUGAGUUCGUUGCACAUAUAAAGCUAUUAGAAUGGAUAAACUUUGUGACAUUGUUUAUCCUCACCUUCUCUAGGAGAGUUUCCAUUUCUGGUUUCUCCUCUUCAAUUGCUGGUUUGUCAUGUUUCUCUUCAACAGCUAUCUCUUCAGAGGUCUCUUCAACCAUUGGUUCUUCAGGUUUCUCUUCAAGUGGUAGUUCAGGUGUUUCCUCCCCUGCUAGCUCUUCAGGUGUUUCUUUAGUUGUUGGUUCUUCAAGUUUCUCUUCAACAGUUGGUUCUUUAGGUUUCUCCUCAACUGGUUCUUCAGAUUUCUCCUCAAUUGUUGGUUCUUCAGGUUUCUCCAUAAUUGCUGGUAUAUCAAGUUUCUCUUCAAUAACCGGUUUUUCCACAGCUGCUGGUUUUUCAGGGUUUUUCUCAUCUUCUAGAAAGUGAGCAGCAUUGUUGCUAGUAUUGCAGGGAAUUUUAUUGUCAGUUUUUUCCUUCGAGUCUGCAACUAGCAAAUUCUGUAAGAAGAAUUUAAAGUUUCACUUAGUCUUUCAGUAGAUAAGCAGAUGUAAAUUGUUGUACAUACAUAACUAAUAGGACAGAUAAACUUUAUGACAGUGCUUGACCCUUGCCUUAUCCAAAAGAGUUACCUUUUCUGGUUUCUCCUCUUCACCUGUUGGUUCUUCAGGUUUCACCUCUUCAACUGCUGGCUCUUCAGGUUUUUCUUCACAUGCUAGUUCAUUAGGUGUUUCUUCCCGUGUUGAUUCUUUGGGUGUCUCUUCAGUUAUUGUCUUUUCAGGUUUCUCUUCAACCUUUGGUUCUUCAAGUUUCUCCUCUGCCAAUGGUUCUUCAAAUUUCUCCUCCACAGUUGGUUUUUCACGUUCUUCUUCAACUGCCAGUUCUUCAAGUUUUUUCUCAACCGCUGGUUCUUCAGGCUUCUCCAUAACAGCCAAUACUUCAGAUUUUUCUUCAAUCAUUGUUUCAUCAUUAUCUUUUUCAACUACUAGUUCUUGAGGUUUUUCCUCGACUGAUUCAUAGUCAGCAAUAUCAUUGUUGGUAUUGCAAGGAAUUGCAUUAUCUAUCUUGUCCUUUGGGUCUUCCAUUGGAAAAUUCUGCAAGAAAUUUAGAGUUCUACUUAGUAUUUAAAUAGAUAAACAUAUGUAAAUUCGUUGCACAUAUAAAGCCUAAUUUGAUGAAUAAACUUUGUGACAAUGUUUAAUCCUGACCUUCUCUAGAAGAGCUUCUGUUUCAGGUUUCUCCUCUUCAACAAUUAGUUCUUUAGGUGUCUUUUCAACCGUUGGUUCUUCAGUUUUCUCUUCAAGUGCUAAUUCUUCAGGUGUUUCCUCCCCUUCUAGCUCUUCAGGUGUUUCUUCAGCCGCUGGUUCUUGAGGUUCCUCCUCAACCACUGGUUCUUCAGGUUUCUCCUUAACCGCUGGUACAUCAAGUUUCUCUUCAAUAGUUGGUUCUUCAGGUUUUUCUUCAACUACUGACUCUUCAAGAUUUUCCUCAACUUGUGGAGGGUGAGCAACAUCAUUAUUGGUAUUGCAUGGAGUUUCACUGCCAGUUUUGUCGUUUGAGUCUACAACUAGCAUAUUCUGCGAAAGAAUUUAAUGUUUCACUUAGUCUAUCAAUGAAGAAGCAGAUGUGAAUCAUUGCACAUACAUAACUAAUAAGAUGGAUAAACUUUGUGACAGUGCUUGACCUCACCUUUUUGGAUGUCUCCUCUUCAAGUGCUGGUUUCUCUUCAAAUAAUAGUUCGUUAGGUGUUUCUUCCCGUUUUGGUUCUUCAGGUGCUUCUUCAGUUAUUGGUUUUGCAGCUUUCUCCUCAAUUGUCUCCUCAACCAAUGGUUCUUCAAGCUUCUCUUCCAUUGUUGUUUCUUUAGGUUUCUCUUCAAUUGCCGGUGGUUCAGGUUUUUUCUCAUCCACUGGUUCUUCUGGCUUCUCUGAAACUGCUGUUUCUUCUGAUUUCUCUUCAAUUGCUUGUUCUUCAUGUUUUUUUUCAACUACUGGCUCUUCAGUUUUUUCCUCAACUGAUGCAUAGUCAGCAAUGUCGUUGGUAUUGCAUGGAAUUGCAUUGUCUGUCUUGUCCUUUGAGUUUACAAUUGGCAAAUUAUGCAAGAAAAUUUUAAGUUUCAUUUAGUCUUUCAACAGAUAAACUUAUGUAAAUUCGUUGCACAUAUAAAGCUAAUAUGAUGGAUAGUUUUUAUGACAGUGUUUAUUUGUCACCUUCUCCUGAAGAGCUUCUGUUUCAGGUUCUUCCUCUUCAAUUGCUGGUUUUUCAUCUUUCUUUUCAACAACUAGUUCUUCAGAUGUGUCUUCAACUGUUGGUUCUUCAGGUUUCUCUUCAAGAGCUAGUUCUUCAGGUGUUUCCUCCCCUGCAAGCUCUUCAGGUGUUUCUAUAGUCGCCGGUUCUUCAGGUUUCUCUGUAAUCUCUAGUUCAGGUUUCUCCUCAACUGGUACUUCAGAUUUCUCCUCAAAUGUUGGUUCUUCAGGUUUCUCCUUAAUAGCUGGUACACCAGGUUUCUCUUCAAUGAGUGGUUCUUCAGUUUUUUCUUCAACUGCCGAUUCUUCAGGAUUUUCCUCACUGUCUGGAGAGUGUGCAACAUCAUUAUUGGUAUUGCAUGGGAUUUCACUGCCAGUUUUUUCGUUCGAGUCUACAAUUAGCAUAUUCUGCAAAAAGAAUUUAAUGUUUCACUUAGCCUUUCAAUAAAGAUGCAGAUGUGAAUCAUAGUACAUACAUAACUAACAAAAUGGAUAAACUUUGUGAUAGUGCUUGACCCUUACCUUUUCCAAAAGAGUUACCUUUUCAGGUUUCUCCUCUUCCAUGGCUGGUUCUUCAUGUAUCUCUUCAAAUGCUAGUUCCUUAGGUGUUUCUUCAAUUACUUGUUUUUCAGGUUUCUCCUCAAUUUUUGGUUCUUUGAUUGUCUCCUCAACUGAUGGUACUUCAAGCUUUUCUCCCACGGUUGGUUUUUCAGGUUUCUCUUCAACUGUCGGUUGUUCAGGUAUUUUCUCAACCGCUGGUUCUUCUGGUUUCCCCGAAACCCUUGAUUCUUCAGAUUUUUCUUCAAUUGCUGAUUCUUCAGAUAUCUCUUCAACUAUUGCUUCUUCAGUUUUUUCCUCAACUGAUGCAUAGUCAGCAAUGUCAUUGUUGGUAUUGCAUGGAAUUGCAUUGUCUAUUGUGUUCUUUGAGUUUACAAUUGGAAAAUUCUGCAAGAAAAUUUAAAGUUUCAUCUAGUCUUUCAAUAGAUAAACAUGUAAAUGCGUUGCACAUAUAAAGCUAAUAUGCUGAAUAAACUUUGUGAGAGUUAAUUCUCACCUUCUCCUUAAGAGCUUCCAUUUCAGGUUCCUCCUCUUCAAUUGCUGUUUUUUCAACUUUCUCUUCAACAACUAGCUCUUCAGAUGUAUCUUCAACCGUUGGUUCUUCAGGUUUCUCUUCAAGUGCUAGUUCUUCAGGUGUUUCUAUUGCUGCCGGUUCUUGAGGUUUCUCUUCAGUCUCUGGUUCUUGAGGUUUCUCCUCAGCUGGUACUUCAGAUUUCUCCUCAAAUGUUGGUUUCUCCUCAACUGCUGGUACAUCAGGUUUCUCUUCAAUGACUAGUUCUUCAUUUUUUAUUUCAACUGCCGGUUCUUCAGAAUUUUCCUCAAUGUCUGGAGAGUGAGCAACAUCAUUAUUGGUAUUGCAUGGAAUUUCACUGCCAGUUUUGGUGUUCGAGUCUACAAUUAGCAUAUUCUGCAAAAAGACUUUAAUGUUUCACUUAGCCUUUCAAAAGAAGAGCAUGUGAAUCACUGUACAUGCAUAACUAACAAAAUGGAUAUACUUUGUGAUAGUACUUGACCCUUACCUUUUCCAAAAGAGUUACCUUUUCAGGUUUCUCCUCUUUCAUUGCUGGCUCUUUAUGUAUCUCUUCUAAUGCUAGUUCCUUGGGUGUUUCUUCAGUUACUUGUUUAUCAGGUUUCUCCUCAAUUUUUGGUUCUUUGAUCGUCUCCUCAACUGAUGGUUCUUCAAGCUUUUCUCCCACUGUUGGUGUUUCAGGUUUCUCUUCGAUUGUCGGUUGUUCAGGUAUUUUCUCAACCGGUGGUUCUUCUGGUUUCUCCAAAACCCUUGAUUCUUCAGAUUUCUCUUCAAUAGCUGAUUCUUCAGAUAUCUCUUCAACUUCUGGUUCUUCAGUAUUUUCCUCAACUGAUGCAUAGUCAGCAAUGUCAUUGUUGGUAUUGCAUGGAAUUGCAUUGUCUGUUGUGUUCUUUGAGUUUACAAUUGGCAAAUUCUGCAAGAAAAUUUGAAGUUCCAUUUAGUCUUUCAAUAGAUGAAACAUAUUUAAAUUCAUUGCACUUAUAAAGUUAAUAUGCUGAAUAAACUUUGUGACAG